UACGGAGGGGGCAAGCGUUAUUCGGAUUUACUGGGCGUAAAGGGCGCGUAGGCGGUCGUGACAAGUCACUUGUGAAAUCUCCGGGCUUAACUCGGAACGGUCAAGUGAUACUGUCGGACUAGAGUACAGAAGGGGCAACUGGAAUUCUCGGUGUAGCGGUGAAAUGCGUAGAUAUCGAGAGGAACACCUGCGGCGAAGGCGGGUUGCUGGGCUGAUACUGACGCUGAGGCGCGAAAGCGUGGGGAGCAAACAGG
rnacentral:rRNA from 1 species